GAACAACCCGACCUGAAAUAAGACAUAACUAAGAAAAAUUAUUUGCAAAACAAAUUAUCAAAAUAUUAAAGGAUAAAACAAAAACAAAAAUAGAAAAAGAAAAAACAAAAUUUUCUGACCAAUCAGAUUGAGAUACACGGAUCACACUUCUGAACCAUUAGAUUAAAUUAGAUCUAAGGGUUGAGAUUUAUUCCUUUUAAUUUUUAUUUUUUCUCCCCCUAUCUCUCUUUUCUCCACGACAGAUCUGAAACUUCAUCUUCUUCAUUCUCAUCUCUCAUAUCUCUCAUCACUCCCAUCUCUCUCCAAGCUUACUGUUUCUCUCAUCACUCCUAUCUCUUUGCACGCCUCUCUCAUCUCUCCCAUAUUUCUCCCAUCGCAUCUUCUCUUCGUCUCCCAUCACUCCCAUCGCAUCGCACCCCCACAACCACCACCGCGGUCGCCCUCCCACCACCGCCACGUUCGCCCUCCCACCACCGCCACGUGAGGAGUCAAGGAUCUUGGUGGCUGCAGUAGGCAAGGUUCAUGGCGGCUUGAGGACGGCGGCCAGGAGGAGGCAAACUCAUGACUGUUGGAAGAGGGGCAAGGGCUGCAAGGCCGUAGAGGAGGCGGCGGCUGCAGUCUUAGUUUUUUAGGUUUAGUUUUUUUUUUCUUUUUAAAUUUGGUUUAGUGUAAACCGGGUUGGGGAAAUUGUAGUGGUCUAAAUUUAUUUUUAAUUUCUGGUUUAGUAAUGUAAACCCAAGUUAAUUUGUAACCCAAUUUUAAUUUAUAAAUAAAAUUUAUUUCAUUUUCA